rnacentral:pre_miRNA from 1 species
UUCCUUUUGAUUCUUAUGAGAGUGAGGGUGUAGUCGGCCUACCUUUCUUUUGAUUCUUAGAAACUACACCCUCACUCUCCUAAGAAUCAAAAGG